AUGGUGAUGGAGGUGGAGGCCGACAUGGAGCAAGUUCUUGGCGGCUUCAGCCUCCAGCUAAGCGACGGCGGCGAUAGUGAUGAGAGCGGCGGCCGGGGAGGGGGGUUCGGCGAGGCCGACGGCGGGGGCGCGGUGAAGGAGCGGAUCGCGCGGGCCCUGCGGCUGUACAAGGAGUCGAGCAGCGGCGGCGGCGACGGCGGCGAAGGCGGCGCGCUGGUGCAGGUCUGGGCGCCGGCGCGGGACGGGGAGCGCCGCCGCGUGCUGGCGACCCGCGGGCAGCCCUUCGUGCUCCCCUCCAGGUGCCGGCGGCUGCUCCAGUACCGGACGGUGUCGCUGACGCACGUGUUCGCCGUGGGCGGCGGCGGGCAGGGCGAGCGCGCGGCGUGGGAGGAGCGCGGGCUGCCGGGGCGGGUGUUCGAGGCGCGGGCGCCCGAGUGGACGCCCAACGUGCAGUUCUACGGCACCGGCGAGUACGCGCGCAUGAGCUACGCGCUCAUCUACGACAUCCAGGCCAGCCUCGCCCUCCCCAUCCUCGACCCCGCCGACCCCCGCCGCUGCCUCGCCGUCCUCGAGCUCGUCUUCACCGCCGCCCCCGCCGCCCGCUUCGCCGCCGAGGCCCACAGGCUCUGCAAGGCCCUCCAGGCAGUGUCGUUGAGAGGCUCGGAGAUCUGCCACCCCGUGCCACCGACCGAGGUGCGUGCCGCGACUUGCGAACCAUGGAUAUGCAACUCAGAGGCGACUCAGGCGGCCAUGUUGGAGGUGUCGGGGCUGCUGGCCGCCGUCCGCCAAGCCCACGAGCUGCCGCUGGCGCAGGCCUGGGUCAGGUGCAAGCAGUGCACCAGCACGGACGUCGACGACGACGGCCAGCAUUUCUCCCUGACGACGGCCGGCGCCCCAUUCCACCUGGGCGCGCACUACGGCGGCUUCCGCGACGCCUGCGCCGAGCACCACCUGCGGCGCGGCCAGGGGCUCGUGGGCGAGGCGGCGGCGGUGCGCGGGCCACGUUUCUGCGCCGACGUCGCCAGGCGGUCCAAGGACGCCUACCCGCUCGCCCACUACGCCCGCAUGCACGGCCUGGCCGGGUGCCUCGCCGUGCCGCUGCGUCUGCCGCAGUCCGCCAUGGACGUCGGCGACGACGGCCAGGUAGGGGAGGAAUGCGUGGUGCUGGAGUUCUUCCUCCCGCCGGACUGCAGGAGCGCCGGGGAGCAGAAGGCCAUGGUGGACGCCGUCGCAGCGACGAUCAGGAAGGAAUGCUCCGGCGAUCACCUGGAGGCGACGAGCGACCUGCAAGAUUUGUCCUUGGAGAACGUUCUUGCCGAUGCUGACACAGCCCAUGAACUGAACGAUCGUGGGGACUAUGAUACCAAUGAUUCAGACGAGGAGGACGGUGAUCAAGCAGGAGGCGUCCAUGGCGCGGACCAAAGUGGAGCCGAGGAUCGCGGACCACCACCGGAGACGAAGAAGAAGAAGAUCGGAAGGAAGGCCGGAAGACCUGUCAGCCUCAAGGAGCUGCAAGGAUACUUCUCAGGGAGCCUGAAAGAUGCUGCGAGGAGCCUCGGCGUGUGCCCGACGACAAUGAAGCGCAUCUGCAGGCAGCACGGCAUAUCAAGAUGGCCAUUCCGGAAGAUCAGCAAGGUGAACCGUGCACUCGGCAAGAUCAGGGCCAUCGAAUCGGUGGAUUGCUCACCGAAGCCGACUGCUGCUUCUUCUUCCACCUCUCGCCGAGCUCCAGCCCCUCAUCUGCCAUGCCUGUCAAGUGCUCUAGGAGAAGACACCUCCUCCCAAGGCUCAAGCCAAGAUCCUCCACCUCUCACCAAAACCACAAUGCGCAAGUCUUUGCUGUGGCGCAGCAAUGGCGCGGAGGGGGAGCUGGUGACCAUCAAGGCGAACUACAGAGGGGACAUCAUCAGGUUCAGGGUGCCAUGCUCCGCCGGCGUAGCAGCAGUAAAGGAGGAGGUGGCCAAGAGGCUGGGCCUAGAUGCCGGCGCCUUCGACAUCAAGUACCUCGACGACAACCAUGAGUGGGUGGUCCUGUCCUGCGAUGCCGAUUUCCAGGAGUGCCUUGAUGUUGCCCCGGGCCUGCCGGCGUCCGCUGCUGUGGCUGCCGGAGCCGGAGCGGUGUCUCCUGUUGUCAGGCUAAUGGUGCAGGAGGUAGCCGAUAACCAUAGGAGCUCCUGUGGUAGCUCAGAUUAG
rnacentral:rRNA from 1 species